rnacentral:tRNA from 1 species
UCCCUGGUGGUCCAGUGGUUAAGACUUUGUGUUUCCAAUGCAGGGGUACAGGUUCAGUUCCUGGUCAAGGAA